GUCCAUUUUAAGAAAAUUGGCCCUCCAGCUUUGUCAGACCCAUGAUGUUGGCAAGGGUGAGCUGGGAACUUGGAGAGCAUCUGGUCUGGAUCCCAUGAUCCACUAUCACUCCAUAUCUUCUUCAGGAAGUAACAGGCAUCCAAGAGAUUACCACCAAAGAGGUCGGAAUAAGACAAGGUCAAAGCUGUCCUACCGAGACUGUCUCAACCAACCCAAUAGGAGGAAAAGAAUCUUGAGAGCAGGCAAAAGAGUCAGAAGAAGCACAAAACCAACAGCCACAGUAUGUAUGCUGAGGACCUGCUGAAGCUCCAUGCAGGCUCUAAUUGCUGCAAGAACAACAUUUGAAGAGGUUGCUUUAUGCUCCAUCUCUGCCUGUCAGCUUAUUGAAUGCAGAGGACCCAGAAGAGGAGGACAAAAACUGACACGAGUGAUACUCAGGCCAAAUGACUACUGUGAAGGAAAAGGUUUCAUAAGAGUCAAAUAGGAGCUUUCACAUCAGACUUUGUACAAACAAAGCUUAACUAUUCUUUUUUUUGCAUUUGAUCCUUGA